GUGCGCCCCUGCUCGGCCCGGCGUACGUGGAGGAACACGUGGGUGUGCCAGCGAGUGGACCCUCAGCGUCCCAAGGACGUAGGUGUGCUUAAAGCUGAAUCUUGAACUAGCAAUGAAAGAAGAUGAAGGCUCACCCAACUGAUGAUAAUGGAGGAUCCUCGGGGCACAUGAAGCAGCUGCCAGCCAUUUCUGGAAUUUGCCCGAGAGGACAAGAAAUUUAAGGAAUGCAGUUUCCUGCCUCAAUGUAUAUACCCAACUAAACUAGCCACCAAACCCAGUAAAGACAUUUUUCAGACAUGCACAGUCUCAAGAAAGUUAUCUUCCAUGGUCCCCUUUCCAGAAACUCCUGUGGAAUAUAUGUCACCACACUGAGGGAAAAAGCCAGAAGGAGGCCUGAUAUUCCCAUUUCCAGCCUGAGAGUUUAAUCUUCAUUUUCAACUUAACUUGAUUUAGAAGCAAUCAUGAAAACACAUCUCCAGGGGUCCCUAUGAGGGUGUUUCCCUAAAGGUUUAACUGACCAGGAAAAACCCAUCCCAAAUGUGGGCAGCACCAUCCCAUGGGCUCGGGUCUCAGACUGAAUGAAAAGAAGAAAAGUUGCUGAGCUCCAGCAUAUCCUCUCUCUCUUUCUGAAUAUGGAUGCAAUGUGAUUAGCCACCUACUCUCCUGUGGCCAUGCCUUCCCCACCAUGAUGGACUGCACCCUCAAAUAUGAACCAAAAUAAAUCUUUCCUCCCCAAG